UUAUAGGUGAGAAUGUUAUCAGUGAAUCAGAAACAUCUACACCUAAACCUGCUCUGUGUAAUAAUUCAGUGGUGCAUGAAGCAACACUGCAUGGAAACAGCACCAACAUCAGCUCACAAAAUAAAACAGUAUAGGAAUUGAUCAGAUCUCUACAUUGGACAGUGCUCGGUUUGGGAUCGGCUUUGGGUUUCUGCGCACUUCUGAUUAUCUUCCUCACUUAUUUUCUAUGGAGGAGAACAAAAAGUGAUAAAAUUAACACUUUUACAGAAAACUUAAGUGCAGGAACGAGGCAGGAAAAUGAAGCAGAAAUGCUGAACUAUGCAGCCGUGAAAUUCUCCCAGAAGAAAACCAAACCUGAAAAAAGAAGAAAUGGAUCAUCAGAUACGACAGAGUGUGUUUACUCCAUUGUGAAUAAAACUGUAAGAUAAAAGUUAAGUGAUUUAUAGUUCUUGGUAUUAUUACACUGCAAAAGUAAAAGGUAAAAGAAUUUUGCAAGUUGAAAUAUCUUGACUACACACUAAUUUAUUCCAGAUUUUUCCGUAGGAAAUGAAAAGAUUAUUAAACAAAUCCAGAAGUAAAACUACAUCUAAAGACAAUAUUAUAUGUGUGUGCAAUAAUCCUGUAAUAAAAGUUAUUUAAAAUGUCUAUUUAAUUAUUUUUAGAAGUUUCCCAGCAGUGUAGCGAAACGUCUUCGCCACAGGUUUAAUGUCUUCACACAUGAUUAAAGUAAAUUGUGAUAUCUUUCAAAUAUCACAUUCAACUGUGU